rnacentral:rRNA from 1 species
GUGGGGAAUCUUGCGCAAUGGGCGAAAGCCUGACGCAGCAACGCCGCGUGGAGGAAGAAGGCCUUCGGGUUGUAAACUCCUGUCAGGGGGGAAGAAGGCACCUGGGUUAAUAGCCCAAGGGCUGACGGUACCCCCAGAGGAAGCCACGGCUAACUACGUGCCAGCAGCCGCGGUAAUACGUAGGUGGCGAGCGUUGUCCGGAAUUAUUGGGCGUAAAGCGCGCGUAGGCGGCUUGUCAGGUCCGACGUGAAAUCCCGGGGCUCAACCCCGGACGUGCGUCGGAAACCGGCUUGCUUGAGUCUGGGAGAGGGAAGUGGAAUUCCUGGUGUAGCGGUGAAAUGCGCAGAUAUCAGGAGGAACACCGGUAGCGAAGGCUGCUUCCUGGAACAGUACUGACGCUGAGGCGCGAAAGCUAGGGGAGCGAACAGGAUUAGAAACCCUAGUAGUCC